CUAUGGGAAAUGCAUACAAAUGACUUCUUUUAGAGAACCACUGAAUGGAAUGAAACAAAACAUAGCAUGAAUGUUCAUUAGGAGGUGCUGACCAAGUGUUGUUACUUUGUAGCUGUUCCAUCAUCCAAAAUGGCCGCCAGUGAGGGACUUAGUUUAACAUAGGACCCUAUGGGAAAUGCAUACAAAUGACUUCUUUUAGAGAACCACUGAAUGGAAUGAAACAAAACAUAGCAUGAAUGUUCAUUAGGAGGUGCUGACCAAGUGUUGUUACUUUGUAGCCGAUCCAUCAUCCAAGAUGGCCGCCAGCAGGGGACUUAGUUUAACAUAGGACCCUAUGGGAAAUGCAUACAAAUGACUUCUUUUAGAGAACCACUGAAUGGAAUGUAACAAAACAUAGCAUGAAUGUUCCUUACAAGGUGCUGACCAAGUGUUGUUACUUUGUAGCUGUUCCAUCAUCCAAAAUGGCCACCAGUGAGGGACUUAGUUUAACAUAGGACCCUAUGGGAAAUACAUACAAAUGUCUUCUUUUAUAGAACCACUGAACGGAAUGAAACCAAACAUGGUAUGAAUGUUCCUUAUGAGGUGCUGACCGAGUGUUGUUACUUUGAAGCCGAUCCAUAAUCCAAGAUGGCCGCCAGCGGGGGACUUAGUUUAACAUAGGACCUAUGGGAAAUACAUACAAAUGUCUUCUUUUAGAGAACCACUGAAUGGAAUAAAACCAAACAUGGUAUGAAUGUUCCUUAUGAGGUGCUGACUGAGUGUUGUUACUUUGAAGCUGAUCCAUAAUCCAAGAUGGCCGCAAGCGGGGGACUUAGUUUAACAUAGGACCCUAUGGGAAAUACAUACAAAUGUCUUCUUUUAGAGAACCACUGAAUGGAAUGAAACCAAACAUUGCAUGAAUGUUUCUUAUGAGGUGCUGACCGAGUGUUGUUACUUUGAAGCCGAUCCAUAAUCCAAGAUGGAUGCCAGCGGGGGACUUAGUUUAACAUGGGACCCUAUGGGAAAUACAUACAAAUGUCUUCUUUUAGAGAACCACUGAAUGCAAUGAAACCAAACAUGGCAUGAAUGUUCCUUAUGAGGUGCUGACCAAGUGUUGUUACUUUGUAGCUGUUCCAUCAUCCAAAAUGGCCGCCAGUGAGGGACUUAGUUUAACAUAGGACCCUAUGGGAAAUGCAUACAAAUGACUUCUUUUAGAGAACCACUGAAUGCAAUGAAACCAAACAUGGCAUGAAUGUUCCUUAUGAGGUGCUGACCAAGUGUUGUUACUUUGAAGCUGAUCCAUCAUCCAAGAUGGCAGCCAGCGGGGGACUUAGUUUAACAUAGGACCCUAUGGGAAAUGCAUACAAAUGACUUCUUUUAGAGAACCACUGAAUGGAAUGUAACAAAACAUAGCAUGAAUGUUCCUUACAAGGUGCUGACCAAGUGUUGUUACUUUGUAGCUGUUCCAUCAUCCAAAAUGGCCACCAGUGAGGGACUUAGUUUAACAUAGGACCCUAUGGGAAAUGCAUACAAAUGACUUCUUUUAGAGAACCACUGAAUGGAAUGAAACAAAACAUAGCAUGAAUGUUCAUUAGGAGGUGCUGACCAAGUGUUGUUACUUUGUAGCUGAUCCAUCAUCCAAGAUGGCCGCCAGCGGAGGACUUAAUUUAACAUAGGACCCUAUGGGAAAUGCAUACAAAUGACUUCUUUUAGAGAACCACUGAAUGGAAUGAAACAAAACAUAGCAUGAAUGUUCCUUACAAGGUGCUGACCAAGUGUUGUUACUUUGUAGCUGUUCCAUCAUCCAAAAUGGCCGCCAGUGAGGGACUUAGUUUAACAUGGGACCCUAUGGGAAAUACAUACAAAUGUCUUCUUUUAGAGAACCACUGAAUGCAAUGAAACCAAACAUGGCAUGAAUGUUCCUUAUGAGGUGCUGACCAAGUGUUGUUACUUUGAAGCUGAUCCAUCAUCCAAGAUGGCAGCCAGCGGGGGACUUAGUUUAACAUAGGACCCUAUAGGAAAUACAUACAAAUGUCUUCUUUUAGAGAACCACUGAAUGCAAUGAAACCAAACAUGGCAUGAAUGUUCCUUAUGAGGUGCUGACCAAGUGUUGUUACUUUGAAGCUGAUCCAUCAUCCAAGAUGGCAGCCAGCGGGGGACUUAGUUUAACAUAGGACCCUAUGGGAAAUACAAACAAAUGUCUUCUUUUAGAGAACCACUGAAUGCAAUGAAACCAAACAUGGCAUGAAUGUUCCUUAUGAGGUGCUGACCAAGUGUUGUUACUAUGAAGCCGAUCCAUAAUCUAAGAUGGCCGCCAGCGGAGGACUUAGUUUAACAUAGGACCCUAUGAGAAAUACGUACAAAUGUUUUCUUUUAGAGAACCAUUGAAUGGAAUGAAACCAAACAUGGCAUGCAUGUUCCUUUUGAGGUGCUGACCAAGUGCUGUUACUUUGAAGCUGAUCCUUCAUCCAUGAUGGCUGCCAGAUGGGGACAAUGUUUAACAAAGGACCCUAUGGAUGAUACAUACAAAUGUCUUCUUUUAGAGAACCACAUACUGAAUGGAUUGAAACCAAACAUGGCAUGAAUGUUCCUUAUGAGGUGCUGACUAAGUUUUGUUACUUUGAAGCUGAUCCUUCAUCCAUGAUGGCCGCCAAUAGGGGGACUUCCUUUAACAUAAGACCGUAUGGGAAAUACAUACAAAUGCUUCUUCUAGAGGUGCACUGAAUGGAAUGAAACCAAAACAUGGCAUAAAUGUUUCUUAUGAGGUGCUGAUUAAGUGUUGCUACUUUGUUGCCGAUUUACUGUUCAAGAUGGCCACCAGGAUUUUUUAUUAAAUUACAGGACCAAUAUUAAACCAAAUUUGGCCUCACUCAUUAUUAGGGUAUCUGUUAUGAUUUUAAUCUAUUUUUACAUGAUUUCCAAAACCAAAGUAGAAUCAGGUGAGCGA